rnacentral:lncRNA from 1 species
GAGCAUCUUUUCAAGGAUUUUCAACUAGGUGGGAUCGUCAUCGACAACGAGAACACGGAGAUCAGCAGGAAACGCAGCGUUACGAGGGGAAGAGAAAACAUUGUCCAUCAGAACUAUGGUUUUUACUUGAACUUUAUAGGUUCUAAUUCUUUUCAUUAGUCUAUGAAUUUAUUCAGAUUCAGGCUCCCAAAAAAUCAAUAUAUUGAAUUUUUUUUUGAAAUAAUUAAUGCUUUGAACUUAGAUUUACAUCCAUUAAAAUAAGUUUUAGUUUUGUCAUAUCACAAAUCCUCUUAAUCUUUAUUGUAACUAACUAAUGUGGGAUACUCCUCAUCCAACAAUAAUUGAUAGAGAAAACAUUGUCCAUCAGAACUAUGGUUUUUACUUGAACUUUAUAGGUUCUAAUUCUUUUCAUUAGUCUAUGAAUUUAUUCAGAUUCAGGCUCCCAAAAAAUCAAUAUAUUGAAUUUUUUUUUGAAAUAAUUAAUGCUUUGAACUUAGA